rnacentral:rRNA from 1 species
UACAGAGGGGGCAAGCGUUGUUCGGAAUCACUGGGUGUAAAGGGUGCGUAGGUGGGUCUGUAAGUCAGUGGUGAAAUCCCCGAGCUUAACUUGGGAACUGCCAUUGAUACUAUAGCUCUUGAAUACUGUGGAGGUCAGCGGAAUAUGUCAUGUAGCGGUGAAAUGCUUAGAUAUGACAUAGAACACCAAUUGCGAAGGCAGCUGGCUACACAAAUAUUGACACUGAGGCACGAAAGCGUGGGGAUCAAACAGG